CCACAACCAGGUGCAGAGGACACAUUCAUUAGCAUAAUUAAGACAGGUGUGUUUGUACAGAGCAGAUAACAUGAAGGAGUUUGAGCCCUCAUGACUGAGAUAAACGUUAAACAGAUUAAUACUGUAUAAGAACACGACAGAAUGUCAAUUUUAGUUUAUUUUUUUUGGAAAUGAAUAGGGUGAAAGUAGAACAAGACGAUGACCAGAUAGAGAUGUAAAGCAGAAGGGGUGAAGUUCAAAGAGGAGGACGGCCGUGCUUUAGGCAGUGAUGUUUUGUGUAGCUGUCAGACAGAUUAAUGCCAAUUGUCUUUCGGUGGAGUACCUCAAGGAUCUCGUCUGGACCCACCUCCUCUCUGAGAUACAGAGCAAAUGAAAUGGCUGACUUUGGCUUGAUGGGUGACUCCAACCUACAACGCCUGAAGGCAACCAUUUCUCCGUGAGCGCUUCCAACUGCAUCUGCAUGCUUUUUUUGAAGAAGACUCCCAUCCAAACACGGGGAUCCUCGCAGGCUUCAACCCUCCUCCUAUCAUUAGUUUUCACCAGCGUUCUGCUUUGACUGGAUCUCCCGGGCAGAGAGAGCCUGCAGUGUGUGUGGGACACAGGAGUGGAACGUAGAGCUGAUCCACCCACUACACUCUCUGGGUGUCUGGAAGGACCUGGUGCCGCCUGCACUCGCUGUGACUGGGAACCGGCGCUCACGGAAAAACUUUGGCAAAAGUGCUGCAGAAAGCCACAAUAGAGGGGUAGAAGAGCCAGACGUCUGGCUGUGGAGCCCCAGGUUGCAGACCCCUGCUUUAGCUCUGCACACAUCCCACCAACAGGUAAAUUUGGAGGUUUAUCUGAUGCAGCGAGAACUUCCCCUGGCCGGGUUCCAGAUGUGUCCAUUCACUAAGAAAACAUGUUUCAGACUCUACUCUUUAAGCUAAACCUCAGCAGCUUCAAAAAAGGCCUUCGUCAGCUGCAACAACUGAAGUUUCUUCCCUUAUUUUGUUUUAUUGCUUAUAAAAAUAUCCCUGUUUGUCUUUGAAUUCUCAGAAGAACAAAUGUUCCCCCAAUUUGCCUUUUUUUGUGCCAAGGGGUCACCUUUUUCUUUAAGAUGAAAUAAGGUUGCAAUUGGCCACCAGGUUGCUGUGGCAUCAGGAGACACUGUGUUCUACUUUUGGAAAACAGCUUAGGGACCAGUGAGAGCGUCUUUACUGGAGUGACGAGGGAAAAGGCAGGCAACGAAUGCUCCAACACUCUUUGUGCAACAAGGAAAAAACAUAAACCCAACUUUUGGUCUUGUCAUUUCUUCCCCGCUGGCUUUUUCCAAAUUUAUAUAUAACUGAGGGGGAGAAAAAAAAAGACAUUCUUGUGACUUUAGUUUCGACUUGUGACAAUUUAUUCAGUUUCCUGUGCUCAAUUACUGACCCAUGAGAGAAAAGAAUAGAAAUGGCCAGGAAAGGCAGUAACACCAACCUAUCUCAGUGGACACUCCACUUGAUUUCAACAGCUUCACCCCCUUUGGAGAAAUACUGUUCCCUGAAAAGGCCCAUAUGCCACAGUGGGUGUGUAAUGAUCUGAUUUGCCAUGAGAGUUUGUCGUGUUUUUCUCCCACUGCUGCUCAGCUAAGCAUUUAGAUUACUUUGACUUGAUCAGCCCACAUGCUCUUGACUAAGACCUUUGGGACAUUCUCCCACAAGAAUAGAUGUUUUCACUGUACUGCAUGCACUUGUGUGUGGGUGAGUGGGUUUUUAAUGCAUGAGGUAAGAUAAGGAAUGAGGGAGAGGACAGAGGGUGAAAAAAGCUAGUCUUGCAUGGACUAAGAUUAAAAUGCAGCAAAGUCAACUUAUGCUGUUUCGGAAUGAUUAGGACUGAACUGGACUCUAAAAAUCUUUAUUUGGAAUAAAACAUAAAAAAGUCAAUUACCUUGGUUAAAGCCACCUUGCCUGUAAAUAAGUGGUCAAGUGGAAUUUUACAAAAGUGAAGAAGGUUGAAUGAACAUCAUACUUGUUAUGCUGCCUUGUUUUGUUCUCAGUGUAGAUGUGCAGCUGGUUCACCGGUGUAGGUACCACAUUUGCUCGGUCUGGAAAAUCGGCUUGGGUGUUGAGACUAGUGAUGACGUCACACUAGGGUAACUGAGACAAACGACUUGGCUAUUUUGCUCCGUUUUUCUGCACUGAAACUGUUGUUUAUAAUAAAGUUUAUUGAAAAGAAAAAAGUGUUGAGACCUGGUCAGGCUAUUAUUGAUUAUUUUGCAUUGACAGCUCCUUUACUAAUGGCUGCUCUCCUCAGUGUGUACAUCACCAAGCAGAAAGUGAGCUGCAUAUUCCAGCGGAUUUUCCUCAGAAGUUCAACACUGCCAGGAUGUAUUUUGAAAAAAUUAUGAGCGAAUAACCACUUCCAUUUUUUAUUAAUUUUUUGUAAUUUUGUAAUUUUUUUAAUUUUUUUGCGACCAACAACAAGCUAGGAUGCUACUCCUGAGCACCCACUUAAGCGAAACCUUCACGUUUCCCGCCUGAUUUCUCUCUAUUAAAAUAAUGAUCCUGUGAUGACUCGUCUCAAUUGAAUUAUUUUGUUGUCAAGGUUUUUGCAGUUGGUUGUAAAUAUUGAGCCCCUUUUGCGAUUCUUAACGUAUUUGUUUGGACCUUCUCGUCUCUUUACUCGGGAAGAGUCCGUGCAUUGUUAUGGCGGAUGUGUGUCAUUUCCCGUAUCACGUGACGGUGGUCUAAAGGUCCAGACCAAUCGCUAUCUUAAACGUCAUCAAGCCGCAACCCCCCGAGCCGAUCUUGCAGGCAGAGUACAUGUGGUACCUACACCGGUCAAC